CCCACUGGGGACAAACAAAAGUAGCGUCGUCUCCACCGAACCAGUUGUCAGUGGCAACAUAUAGGAAUCGUGUACAUUUCUUCGUUUCUUCUUUGCUGUUUUCAGUGAGUGUUUUGUUUUCUCUUUGUCCUUGAUCUCGACGAUGUUGUCGUGCUCAUUACCUUACUGAGACGUCUCUUGUGACUGUAGCCAGUGUCACGGAGGAUUUUAUUGGCGUGACAAGGUAGAUCGCCGAGAUCGAGCGUGAAAAACGCUCUGCAUUAGUAGCUCCUGUAGAAUGUUUUCUGGGUUGGCGUAUCCAUGGUCAACAAAACCAAGGUGCAAGACAGCAUGAGAGAUCGUGUAAACGAUGUGAACUCCAAAAGAUAAUCUGGCCAAAUUUAUUGUAACUAGAGAGUGCAAUCGUACUUGGGGCCCAUUCCAAUGUCAUCACAUGGCUGUGGUGACUAGUGUAUAUCUGGGAGAAUUUUUCCUCGACUGAUACGGAGUGCAGGUGGAUCGAUUAUGAGAAAUGCGAACAUGUGAAGUUCAAGGCUAGGUGCACUUCACAUUCGGCGUGCGAUCUCAGCGUCUGGGACCUGAUGAAGUCUUGGUUGGAUGAUUAUUCAAGCCUGACACUACUCGACACACCAAUGUACAUGUCAAUGUAAUUUUUCAGAGCUGCACUAUUUACGUGUUGAUGCUUACUUCGGUGUUAGCGUGUUUCCCCCGGAUUGUUUCUAUCAUCAUGAUCGUGUGUUCUUGGGCUGAGCGAGCACAUGCACAAGUGUGCAGCUAUAACCCUGUGUAUCUUUGGUUACACUUUGUUCUGCAAUGCAUGUAACAUUAUGUGCUUGCACUGCUUUGUCUGGCCUGCAUAUUUCAGGACUAUUCAGUGCAUUAGACCCAGGUUUGUUUGGUUGCCAGAUGAUCUCUUGUUCCGUCGCUCUGUAUUUGUAUUCAUCAAUUUUUGGGCUUGAGAACUGAGCUGUUGUGUGGUUCCCAAUAUGAAAACAUCAUGCUGGUGCUCU